rnacentral:lncRNA from 10 species
CUCCCCUAACCAAAACCCUGACAAAUAGAGCCAGGGAAGGCCAUGCAAAAAAGGAUUCUUGGGCUUGUAUGCCUGAUAACAAAAAAUUAUCACAGAAGACUGCAAAAAACACAAUCUUGCACAAAGCCCAUUGCAACUUUGCACACAACAAUGCUUCUGAAGGAUAUUUGCCCAACAACUGCCUGUCCAGCCUGGGCCUGGCUAGGUUGACAAGAGAAAUGUGAACAUUUGAGAGCUCAGGUAAAAGGCCUUAGUCUAUAGUGAAACUUUUUUGUGAACAUGUUGUUAUGAGUACUUAGAACAAGUAAUAAUGGCUUUUGAUGUAUAGUAGUAAGAAAGCUUCCUUUUAAAAGGCAUGUAUUUAAGUUUCAAAAGUGGGGCUAUUUAAAAAUAUAUGAAAUAAAUAAUAGUAGAGGUAAUUGACAGAGCAAAAUUAUGAAGGCAGGAUGAGAAUGACUCAAGUUUGGGAAAUGCUGAGAAAGCAGAUGCCCAAGGGCUAUGAAAACUUAAAAAAUAGGUAGCACUUGAUUUUGAUUGGCUGAAUGAGAUGAUGUGUUUGAUCACUUAUGGGGUUGGCAUUU